rnacentral:rRNA from 1 species
AGUGAACGCUGGCGGCAGGCCUAAUACAUGCAAGUCGAACGGCAGCACAGUGGAGCUUGCUCCAUGGGUGGCGAGUGGCGGACGGGUGAGGAAUACAUGGGAAUCUGCCCAGUCGUGGGGGAUAACGUAUGGAAACGUACGCUAAUACCGCAUGCGCCCUUCGGGGGAAAGUCGGGGACCGCAAGGCCUGACGCGAUUGGAUGAGCCCAUGUUCGAUUAGCUAGUUGGCGGGGUAACGGCCCACCAAGGCGACGAUCGAUAGCUGGUCUGAGAGGAUGAUCAGCCACACUGGAACUGAGACACGGUCCAGACUCCUACGGGAGGCAGCAGUAGGGAAUAUUGGACAAUGGGCGCAAGCCUGAUCCAGCCAUGCCGCGUGAGUGAAGAAGGCCCUCGGGUUGUAAAGCUC